rnacentral:siRNA from 1 species
GGGUUUGAGUACUACUUACCC